GACAUUCAGCUGAUAUACAAAGGUAGAGAGAUGUUCAACUAUUUAAACUGAAAGUUGAUGAUAACUUCAGCAAUGAGUGAUUCAGCACCAGUGCUUGAUCAUAUUCCCCUUCCUCAUACAGCAAUCCUGUCACCUCAGGAGGGAAAGUCAGGCGCACACAACACCUCAGUCACAGGCAAGAGAAAAUCUAGCAAACACAAUGACAGCAGUGAUGAAAAAGAGUCUAAGAAAAAACAUAAAAAAUCAAAGAAGAAAGACAAGCAUAAAGACAAAGAGAAAGAAAAAAGUAAAGAGAAAAAGAAAGAGAAAAAACACACUUCUGAACCAGAGUUGACAGCAAUAGAAAAGUUUAAUAUGUUUAAAAAACAAAGAGAGGCUGGUAAAGGAGAUGAUAAAAUUGUUGAUGAUCUCUUUAAAGACUUCAUUGCAUCAAAACUGAAGCAAAUUGAAAGUGAUAAUAUUAAAAGUAAAGACAAAAAAAGUAAAUCCAAAAAGGAUAAGGAUAAAAAGGUGAGUUCGGUGGAUGAAAUGAAUAAAUUUCUUGAUAAUGAAAUAAGUAACAUUGCACUGCCUACUGUAUCAAAAGACACAACAGAAAAGCCAGCUAGUCCACCAGACAAGGUAAAGUCUGUUGCUAAACCAACAAGUGUACCAGAUAACUUAAAAUCAGUAGGUAAUAUGAAGUCUGUCCUACCUGGUAGAAAACUAAGUGUAAUUGAUAACCCAACAACUCUAGGAAGCCUUUUAAAACUUGAUAAAAGGAAAGAAAACAUAAAUGCCAAUAAAACGUGUGUUAACAAAGGACCAGUUAUAGGAAAUGAUAUAUCACUAAGGAAGGAAAAAGACUUCCCAAAAUCUAGUCAGCCGAUUCCAGAUAGUGCUAUUCCACUGCCUACUGGGAGUGCUAUUCCACUGCCUACUGGGCCAGGUCCAACUCAAGAAGGCCCGAGGUCUGCUUUACCUGACAAGGAAGUAGAUGAUACAAGUACUCAGAAAGACAAAACAGAAAAAGCUCUGCCUGUAUUUGGACCUAUGUUACCAAGGUCCAUAGCUAUUGGUGAAAAACCAGAUAAUGCAGAAGAACAGAAAAUUGAGGUUAAGAAACCGCUUGGUUUCAAGAACUUUGGGAUAAAGCUGAGUGCUACUAGUGCUGAACUUAUACAGUCAGGAGAGGUACACAAGAAAGGAAAAAGACUCGAGGAAGGUGAGGUUUUAUCCUCAUCUUCUGAAGGUAGUGACAGUUCAGACUCUGAACCAGAUGCUGAUGAUGAUGGGGAUGAUGAUAAUGAAGUCUCAGGAACUGGAUCAAUCAGUGACUCAGAAGGAGAAUCAAAAUCUGGAUUGAAGUCGAAAAAGAAGAAGAAGAAAAAGAAGAAAGCAAAACAUAAAAAGAAGAAAAAACAUAAAGAAAAAGAUAAGGACAAAGAGAAAGAUGGGGUUGUAGUUGUUGGGAAGGAAAAACCAGGGUCAAAAAGAAAGGUCUCAAUUACUCCACGUUCAAGGUCAAGAUCUCCAAAAAAGUCACGAAGGUCAAGGUCACAUUCUUAUUCAAGAGAUAGGUCAAGAAGGCGGUCACGCUCUAGAUCUCGAGAUAGAGGAAGUUCACGCAGAUCUAGGUCAAGGUCCAGAGGCCGAAGGUCAAGAUCUCGGGGAAGAAGAUCAAGGUCAAGAGGGCGGAGAUCAAGGUCCAGAAGUAAAAGCCCUGACAGAUUCUGGAGAAGUAAAUAUGGUGACUUUGAUGCCUACAGAUUUCUUAAAGGAAAACGUGACAGAUCACGUAGUCGAUCACCUGACAGAGAGCGAGACAGGUUCAUUGAGAAGGAAAAGAAAAGAUUGGAAGAUCUACGUCUAAGAAUUGAUAAAGCCAAACUCAGGGAAAUUGCAAUUAAAAAUGCAGUAUCUAAUGCAAGAUCAGGAGGACCUCAGCUAGAUGUGGCAAUAAAAUCUGGGGGAAAAUCGGUUGAGGAAUUAACAGAGUACUGUAAGAAAAUACAAGAGAAAGAAAUACUGAAGAAGAAGUCAAGAAAUGAGUUUGAGAGUUCAUCUGACGAAGAGCCAUCGAGAAAUUCUGAGGAUGAAGACAUGUUGCACCAUCCAUUCCUUGUAAAAGAACCAGGUUCUAUUAUUGUUGAUAUCAAGAAUUCUAAACAGCUGCCUGUUGUCUCACCACAAGAGAGAAUAACCCAGAAUGCACAACUGCGAAUUACCUAUCCUGUGUCUAGUGGUUCCCAGCACAGAGACAAAGAAUGGGUACCAGUUGAACCAGACCCUGUUCCCCAACCAAAGCCAAAAACAAACACAGUGGGUGGAGUACCAGCGUUGAUGCCACCUCCAGCACCACCCAAACCCAAACCAGAUAUUAAAGUAUUUGAGGAACCACCAGAACAGCCAGUGGAUAUAAGCUCGAUUGUAUCAGAGAGACUCGAUGCAAUGAAGAAGUUACAGGAGAAUCCAAAUGAUACCUGCGCUAAAAUUAUACUUUCCAAGGCACAGGAACGGGCAAGUAUGUGGGCUGCAUCUAAGAAUUUACCAGGCCAGUUUAUAGGAAGUACAGGGGCCAAUAUUCUUUCACAAGAAGAGUUGAUGGGCAACAAGAAGCGUCAGGCUUGGCUUAAAAAGGAGAAAUAUGAAAUCACAAUGCAGAUAGUUUAAAGUGUGAUCACUACAUGAUGACAGCAGCAGCGUGUACUAGCGAGGGGCACCAACUAGUCUCUCAGUGGUAGACAAUUUGUCAGAUUGUGCGAAAUAUUGGUACAUGGAUGUGUUCACAAGUGCUGCCCCAGUGACUGGGGGGAUCGGUAUGUUCCUGCUACAGAAAAUGGGCUGGAAACAUGGCGAGGGCCUCGGCAAAAAUAAUGAGGGAACUAAGGAACCACUGAUGUUGGAUUUCA
rnacentral:misc_RNA from 1 species